AGAGUUUGAUCCUGGCUCAGGACGAACGCUGGCGGCGUGCCUAAUACAUGCAAGUCGAGCGAAUCUUUAGGAGCUUGCUCCUGAAGGUUAGCGGCGGACGGGUGAGUAACACGUGGGCAACCUGCCUGUAAGACUGGGAUAACACCGGGAAACCGGUGCUAAUACCGGAUAAUUCUUUCCCUUACAUGAGGGAAAGCUGAAAGUCGGUUUCGGCUGACACUUACAGAUGGGCCCGCGGCGCAUUAGCUAGUUGGUGAGGUAACGGCUCACCAAGGCGACGAUGCGUAGCCGACCUGAGAGGGUGAUCGGCCACACUGGGACUGAGACACGGCCCAGACUCCUACGGGAGGCAGCAGUAGGGAAUCUUCCGCAAUGGACGAAAGUCUGACGGAGCAACGCCGCGUGAGUGAUGAAGGCCUUCGGGUCGUAAAACUCUGUUGUUAGGGAAGAACAAGUAUCGGAGUAACUGCCGGUACCUGGACAGUACCUAACCAGAAAGCCACGGCA
rnacentral:rRNA from 1 species